rnacentral:rRNA from 1 species
CCUACGGGAGGCAGCAGUGAGGAAUAUUGGUCAAUGGGCGAGAGCCUGAACCAGCCAAGUCGCGUGAGGGAGUACUGCCCUAUGGGUUGUAAACCUCUUUUGUCGGGGAGCAAAAGCCGGACGUGUCCGGCUGUGAGAGUACCCGAAGAAAAAGCAUCGGCUAAAUCCGUGCCAGCAGCCGCGGUAAUACGGAGGAUGCGAGCGUUAUCCGGAUUUAUUGGGUUUAAAGGGGGCGCAGGCGGAUUUUUAAGUCAGCGGUAAAAUCGUGGGGCUCAACCCCAUCCAGCCGUUGAAACUGGGGAUCUAGAGUGUGCGAGAGGUAUGCGGAAUGCGUGGUGUAGCGGUGAAAUGCAUAGAUAUCACGCAGAACCCCGAUUGCGAAGGCAGCAUACCGGUGCACAACUGACGCUCAGGCACGAAAGCGUGGGUAUCGAACAGGAUUAGAUACCCCUGUAGUC